AAAAAAUACAAGAGCUAUUAUUCAACUCCUGCAUUCUUUUGCUGUGAAUCUGAAAUGCCCAGGAGAGCCUUCUCACACUAUCUUUUAAGCAAUUUGGAUUGGCAGCUUCCUGUUGCCUGCAAGAUGUAGGACUCUCAGCUCCAGUACCACGUCUGCCUGAAUGCCGCCAUGCUCCCCGUCAUGAUGAUAAUGGACUGAACCUCUGAAACUCACCCGGAGGUGAGCAACUUCCUUUUACCACAGGCACAGAAGUGACUGUGCCAACCAUGAACUGAAGCCUUAGAAAAUGAGCCAAAAUGAGUAUUUCCUCCUGGGACUGGAAGUUUCACUAGAGCCUCAGAAGCCAAACGGGGUGAGGGAAGGAUGGCAUCUCCAGCCUGUGCUGAAAGAGGUUUUGGUCACUUCAUCCCCACUAAGAUGGCUACAGUCAAAUGGGAAGGAGGGGGAGGAGGAAGGAAGAAAGAAAGAAAAGAGGGCAGGCAGGCAAGCAAGCCAGCUCCAAAAGAUAGAGUCGGGAGGAUUCAAUAUUCCAGGAAAGCCUCGUCUAUACGGAGCGACCUAAUCUUGAAGAGAAAAUGUUAAUGACCAGGUGGAGAAACUGCAGUACUCAUACACUGGCUGCUGCUGGAGUAAAAUGUUGUGACUGGUGAGGCAACAGUUCUGCUAGGAGAACAUGCUAAAACACAUGCUUCCCGUGUGCAAGGCUCGAGCUUUGCUCUCUGGCGUUCCCCAAAAGAAAACGUGUGUAAACAGUUACCAUAAAAUCCAGCUACUCAUUCUUAUGAGCAAAGAGUGGGGUAUGGGCAUUGCUGGGAACAUGCUCAAGGAGUGGGGUAUGCGCAUUCAAACAGAUUUGCAUCUGAGCAGCACUCUUCACGAGACCAGACUAAACUGUGGAAGCUGCCCAGAUGUCCAUCAGUUGGCAGAUGGACAAACAGGCUACAGAACACCCAUAUGACAGAUGUUUAAUCCUAAAAAGGAAACCAGCACUGAACAGUGCUGGGAAUGAAUAAAUCUUGAAGAGAAGCCAGCC
rnacentral:lncRNA from 1 species